rnacentral:rRNA from 1 species
AACGAACGCUGGCGGCAGGCCUAACACAUGCAAGUCGAACGGGACCUUCGGGUCUAGUGGCGGACGGGUGAGUAACGCGUGGGAACGUGCCCUUUGGUUCGGAAUAGCCCCGGGAAACUGGGAGUAAUACCGGAUAAGCCCUACGGGGGAAGGAUUUAUCGCCAAAGGAUCGGCCCGCGUUGGAUUAGGUAGUUGGUGGGGUAAUGGCCUACCAAGCCGACGAUCCAUAGCUGGUUUGAGAGGAUGAUCAGCCACACUGGGACUGAGACACGGCCCAGACUCCUACGGGAGGCAGCAGUGGGGAAUCUUAGACAAUGGGGGAAACCCUGAUCUAGCCAUGCCGCGUGAUCGAUGAAGGCCUUAGGGUUGUAAAGAUCUUUCAGUGGGGAAGAUAAUGACUGUACCCACAGAAGAAGCCCCGGCUAACUCCGUGCCAGCCGCCGCCGUAA